rnacentral:rRNA from 1 species
GACGAACGCUGGCGGCGUGCUUAACACAUGCAAGUCGAACGGAAAGGCCCUGCUUUUGUGGGGUGCUCGAGUGGCGAACGGGUGAGUAACACGUGAGUAACCUGCCCUUGACUUUGGGAUAACUUCAGGAAACUGGGGCUAAUACCGGAUAGGAGCUCCUGCUGCAUGGUGGGGGUUGGAAAGAUUCGGCGGUUGGGGAUGGACUCGCGGCUUAUCAGCUUGUUGGUGGGGUAGUGGCUUACCAAGGCUUUGACGGGUAGCCGGCCUGCGAGGGUGACCGGCCACCCUGGGACUGGGCUACGGCCCAGACUCCUACGGGAGGCAGCAGUGGGGAAUAUUGCACAAUGGGCGGCAGCCUCAUGCAGCAACGCCGCGUGCGGGAUGACGGCCUUCGGGUUGUAAUCCGCUUUCGCCUGUGACGAAGCGUGAGUGACGGUAAUGGGUAAAGAAGCACCGGCUAACUACGUG